rnacentral:rRNA from 1 species
CCCUUAGAUGUUCUGGGCUGCACGCGUGCUACACUGAUUACUUCAACAAGUGUUUUAACUGGAGAGUUCGCGUAAUCCUGAAAUGUUAUCGUGAUGGGAGUAGAGUAUUGUAUUUGUUAAUCUUUAACGAGGACUUCCUAGUAAGUGUAGGUUUAUUUGUUUUUUUUUUUUUACGUCCCUGCCCUUUGUACACACCGCCCGUCGCUCCUACCGAUUGAUUGAUCCGGUGAAUUACAUAGAAUUUUGCGUUUUACAUGACGGAAGAUGAAGUGUUUUAAACCUUAUCAUUUAGAGGAAGGAGAAGUCGUGACA